CAUGCAAGUCGAACGGAAAGGCCCUUCGGGGUACUCGAGUGGCGAACGGGUGAGUAACACGUGGGUGAUCUGCCCUGCACUUUGGGAUAAGCCUGGGAAACUGGGUCUAAUACCGGAUAGGACCACGGUCUGCAUGGAUUGUGGUGGAAAGCUUUUGCGGUGUGGGAUGGGCCCGCGGCCUAUCAGCUUGUUGGUGAGGUUACGGCUCACCAAGGCGACGACGAGUAGCCGGCCUGAGAGGGUGUCCGGCCACACUGGGACUGAGAUACGGCCCAGACUCCUACGGGAGGCAGCAGUGGGGAAUAUUGCACAAUGGGCGCAAGCCUGAUGCAGCGACGCCGCGUGAGGGAUGACGGCCUUCGGGUUGUAAACCUCUUUCGCCAGGGACGAAGCGCAAGUGACGGUACCUGGAGAAGAAGCACCGGCCAACUACGUGCCAGCAGCCGCGGUAAUACGUAGGGUGCGAGCGUUGUCCGGAAUUACUGGGCGUAAAGAGCUCGUAGGUGGUUUGUCGCGUUGUUCGUGAAAACUCACA
rnacentral:rRNA from 1 species